GGACAAUAAGAGCGGAAAAUCGAAUGCUUCCAUACUGCAAUAGCACUGAUAAGCAGAGCCGCCAGAGGAAUUACGAAUUACUUUACGAGUAGCGAAGGAAUUAUGCUAUGUAUGAAAACAAAUAUGGACUCAUUGACCUUUUCAAGAAGACAAGAAGGUAGAACUUGUUCAGAAACUACAGUGUAUACAUGUGAACCUCUGUACAUUAUAGGUAGGGGGAAAUAUAUUUCACCAGCAGGUUGCUCAGUUGUAGCGUUGAUUUAAAUACUGGGCAAUUUCUCUAGCCCAGGGCCAGGUUGUUAAUAAUUGUGAAACGAUCAUUGAUAUCAUGCAAUCAUGUUUGUAUUUUUAAACUUAUAUAAUGA
rnacentral:lncRNA from 1 species